rnacentral:miRNA from 1 species
UGAGUAACAAAAGUGAAAACAAAAACUUGAAAGUGAAAACAAAUUGAAAUAGAUUUCAGUUUUUAGUUUUUGUUUUCACUUUGGUUACUCAUCUCUCCUUUC